UACGUAGGGUGCAAGCGUUGUCCGGAAUUAUUGGGCGUAAAGAGCUCGUAGGCGGUCUGUCGCGUCUGCUGUGAAAACUCAGGGCUUAACCCUGAGCUUGCAGUGGGUACGGGCAGACUAGAGUGCGGUAGGGGAGACUGGAAUUCCUGGUGUAGCGGUGAAAUGCGCAGAUAUCAGGAGGAACACCGGUGGCGAAGGCGGAUCUCUGGGCCGUAAACUGACGCUGGAGGAGCGGAAAGCAUGGGGAGCGAACAGG
rnacentral:rRNA from 1 species